CCUGAAUAUGCUAAUCAUUAGCUGGCAAUGAAUGUCUUUCUUCAAAAUAUAAAUUCCAGAUCUGGGUUUCUGAUUCGGCAUGUUUUUUGAAGCUCCCGCAAGAGAUUCAGAAGCUCUGCUGGGUUCCUGUCUGUCUGUCUGAAGAAGGCACAGUCUUUGCAGUUGAGGAGGCUCAUCCGGGGAGAGAUUCUGUGCUUCCAAUCACCAGGAAUGAUGUCAAAGUGCAUAAAUCUGUGAGCAGCAAUGAAACUCACUUGGAGGGUCAUUCACAUGAAGAAAAACAUCUAGAACCAAGUGGCUUCAAGCUGCACAUGAAGUGGAAUGUUCCAGGAGCCGUUGUUGACACACAACCAGUACCUGUUCUUAAUAGUUAACACCUGACUCAUUCUCCAACAGCGUGUUUUAAGCUGUGUGAUGAUGGGCUCAGGACUUGCUCAGUUGGAUAGUACAAUUCACUGGAAUAAACGGUACCAAGAGCAGCCCUGUCCA
rnacentral:lncRNA from 1 species